rnacentral:rRNA from 1 species
AUUGAACGCUGGCGGCAUGCUUUACACAUGCAAGUCGAACGGCAGCACGGACUUCGGUCUGGUGGCGAGUGGCGAACGGGUGAGUAAUACAUCGGAACGUACCCAGUAAUGGGGGAUAACUCGUCGAAAGAUUAGCUAAUACCGCAUACGCGCUACGGGGGAAAGAGGGGGAUCGCAAGACCUCUUGUUAUUUGAGCGUCCGAUGGCUGAUUAGCUAGUUGGUGGGGUAAAGGCCUACCAAGGCGGCGAUCAGUAGAGGGUCUUAGAGGACGAUCCGCCACACUGGAACUGAGACACGGUCCAGACUCCUACGGGAGGCAGCAGUGGGGAAUCUUGGACAAUGGGCGAAAGCCUGAUCCAGCAAUGCCGCGUGCGUGAAGAAGGCCUUCGGGUUGUAAAGCGCUUUUGUCUGGGAGCAAAUCCUUGUGGCUAAUACCCACCGGGGAUGAGAGUACCAGAAGAAUAAGGACCGGCUAACUACGUGCCAGCAGCCGCAGUAACAC